AUUGAACGCUGGCGGCAGGCCUAACACAUGCAAGUCGAGCGGAUGAAUGGAGCUUGCUCCUGGAUUCAGCUGCGGACGGGUGAGUAAUGCCUAGGAAUCUGCCUGGUAUUGGGGGAUAACGUCCGGAAACGGGAGCUAAUACCGCAUACGUCCUGAGGGUGAAAGUGGGGGAUCUUCGGACCUCACGCUAUCAGAUGAGCCUAGGUCGGAUUAGCUAGUUGGUGGGGUAAAGGCCUACCAAGGCGACGAUCCGUAACUGGUCUGAGAGGAUGAUCAGUCACACUGGAACUGAGACACGGUCCAGACUCCUACGGGAGGCAGCAGUGGGGAAUAUUGGACAAUGGGCGAAAGCCUGAUCCAGCCAUGCCGCGUGUGUGAAGAAGGUCUUCGGAUUGUAAAGCACUUUAAGUUGGGAGGAAGGGCAGUAAGUUAAUACAUUGCUGUUUUGACGUUACCAACAGAAUAAGCACCGGCUAACUUCGUG
rnacentral:rRNA from 1 species